rnacentral:rRNA from 1 species
UACGAAGGGUGCAAACGUUGCUCGGAAUUAUUGGGCGUAAAGCGCACGUAGGCGGCUUGGCAAGUCAGAUGUGAAAUCCCUCGGCUCAACCAAGGAAGUGCAUCCGAAACUGCUGAGCUUGAGUACUUAAGAGGAUCGCGGAAUUCCCGGUGUAGAGGUGAAAUUCGUAGAUAUCCGGAGGAACACCGGUGGCGAAGGCGGCUUCCUGGACCGACACUGACGCUGAGGCGCGAAAGCCAGGGGAGCAAACGGG